rnacentral:tRNA from 1 species
UCUAAAAUGGCAGAUAGAUGCACAAGAUUUAAGCUCUUGUUAGGGAGAAAAUUCUUCUUUUAGAA